CCUCCAACCCCUCCGGGGCUGAAAUGGAGCCAUCAAGGACCACGGCCACGACUCCCUCCACCCUGCCAGCUGCCGCUGGCCGUGUGACCUUGGUGAAGGGACCUCCAGUCCCUGAGCCGCCAGGUGCCAAAUUAUCAACCUGGCGGUUCUGGCGACCCCCGCCAGGCCCUCCUUCUCGCCUCACCACAGCGGAUGGGCCACAGUGAAGCGCCGCUGCAGGCGGAUACUCUGGUUCACCAGGAGCUUCCGGAAGAGCCCGGGGGAGCCGCGAGGGGAGCCCCGGGGAGAGCCGGGCCCGGGGGCCGGGGCGGGCGCGGGGGGUCCCUGCAUCGCCAAGACCGCAUGGAGGCUGCACCCAGCGCGGGCUGCGCGGGACCUUUUCUGGACAGCCGCGGGGGCGGGGCCCGGCGGGGAGGGGGCAGAGGGCGCACUUGGCCCCGCCUCGCCGCGGGACCUCUCCUUGAUGCCCCCACCGGGACCAAUGGGGGAAACUGAGGCACUGAGCUGGACGCGACUCUCUGCUCCCUCCCUCUGGGGGUGGCCCCGUGGGUCCCAGAACCCGGAUCUUACGCCACUUCUCUCUGCCUAAAUGUCCCUAAUUAGAGCAGCUUCUGGGGUUGAUAACUUGGCUGAGAAGAGUGAAAUGCGGAAGUCAGUAAGGGAAGCGUCCCCCUUUGUGAGAGGGUCACAGAGGCACGGAGUUUACCGAGGGGCUGCCCGCGUCUCACACAGGGCUUCCAGUGCCCCUCUGCCCACUUCCCAUAUGGAGACAAUGAGGCCUGGAGCCACUCGGCGCUGCCCGGAAACUACAGACCCUUAACCCUUUGCCAGGUGGAGAAACUGAGGCUUGGAGGGAGGUAGUAACAGGCACAAGGCUUUGCUGCAGGGCAGCGGGGUUCAAACCCAGCUCCCCCUCUCUGAGUCCCCCUCCACGAGGCCCCGCAUGACCCCCACCCACUCUGACAUUCCCCAGGCCCCGUCUCUGGAUCCUUUCCUCUCUUUUGCUGUUCCUGCUAGACAAACAUCCGCACUCCACUCUCGCCAGGUCUUCCGUCUGUGAAGCAUCAACUGCCUUUUCCCUGCCCCAGGAGGGACCCCAGGGGGCCUGGAAAGGGAGGCGUGUGUCUGGGGGUUUCCAGGGGUCUGUAGCAGGUGCUCUAUCCUCUGAAUGCUGGCAUUGGGAUGGCCCUGCCCCAUUCCAUAGGAAAGGAAACCAAGUCUCAGGGUAUCGCACUCGGAGGCAGGACCUCGAAUGCCCAUGUUUUAGGCAGAGGCAGCUCUAAAGGCAUCUGUGUCCCUGCUGUGGGAUGACAUCCCCUCCCCCGCCUGGGCUUUGCCCCAGGGGACUUCAUGGGUUUUGGGGUCCUUAGACAAACGGCACCCCCAUUUCUGGCACUCCUAGGGGAAUGUGAGAUACAGUGGGGGUGAUUAGAGCUUCAGCGGGGACACCUGAGGUGCUACAGGCAGGAGAACUCUGACUCUCUCCUGACUCCCAGCCAUCGUGUUGUCCCCAUUGUACAGGUGAGAAAACGGAGGCUCAGAGAAGUAGGGUCCCGCUGGGGCUCAGGAGUGCAGAGAGUCUCAAGGACCUGGCUGGGAACCCCCUCCUGCUCCCAUGGCCCUGCAACCGGACACCUGGUGGGAACCAGACUUGCUGUCCCAAAGACAAAAAUACCAUCUGUAGCUACUGUGGCUGGACCUAAUUAUAGCCGGUCCCCAGGGGAUAGAGGCCGCCAGGAUCAGCCUGGUGGAGGCACUGGGGACAGGGUCAGGGGAGCCUUGAUAUCACCUCGGCCCCGUGGGAGGGGCUUGGAAUUGCCUGGUGUCCCCAAGGAGAAACUGAGGCACGGGGAGACCCAGUCCCUCCCCAGAAGUCACAGACAUGAAAUGGAGAGUUAAGACGAAACGCAUCGACACAAACUGCUUCCUACUAGCCUGGAGCUGAGCCAAGGGCUGUGCACGUAAAAGUCAUUUGAUUUUCAGAGCAAACUCUACAAAAAGUGGGGACUAUCGUGCUCAUUUUGCCGAUGGGGAAAUUGAGGCACAGAGAGGCGGUGUUCACUUGUCUGGGGGAGUGGUAGGGCCAGGGUCACUCAAGCCGAGGCAGGAGGGCUCCCUAGCUUGUGCCCUCUCCCACUUAAUGCUUAACUGGCUCCAGCCCCUCUGGAGUCCCAGAAGCUACUCUGACAUUCAUGUUUGAUCAGAAGUUUUAACAGUUUAAUGGUUUGAAACAUUAAUAGAUUCAACUUUAAAUAUUUUAUUAACAGUUUUAACAGUAAUGCUCUAUUAAUAGCUUUUUGGAUGGAGAAACUGAAGCCUGGCCGGCUUGACUGCGGGAGGCCCCGAACCCAGCCGGGUAAAGAGCUGAGGCUGAAGGAGAGGUGGAAGUGAGGACUCCCACCUUGACUUUGUCCCUGUGUGCUGCAUGACCUGAGGAAGUGCCCGGCACUCUAGUGCCCUUAACGUAUCACUGGAAUCCACCCCCCACCCCCUCACCCCCCCUUUGAGCAUUCCUUCCCUGGGCAGACACUUUUUUCCUCUGCCACCAGGUGGCCCCAGUGAGAUGGGUGCUGUUGUGCCCAUUUUACAGACAAGUAAACUGAGGUCUGGAGAGGAGCCAUGACUUGCCGAAGUCCCCACGGAGAGUCUAGACAAAGGGAGGAGGGUGGGGGCUGAGUCCACUUAUAGAUGCUCACAUGGGGCAGAUCUCACCCUCCUCUGCUCCAGACCCUCUCCAUGGCUCCCCGUUGCCCUUCCCCCACCCCUCUGAAUGCCUUGUAUGGUCUGAACCUUUUGAGGUCUGAGCCUCCUUCACCCCCCUCCUUCCUCUUGGCUCCCUCUGCUCCAGCCUCUUCCCCCCUCCUUACUUUUCCUUGAACCAACCAGGUUCAUUCCCACCCCAUGCCUGUGCCCAAAUGCUUUUCUCCGGCUGACUGUUCGUGUGUCAGGUCAUAACUGGAGCACGACCCCCUCCAGGAAGCCCUCCCUAACUAGAUGGGCAAAUAUCCUCUGAGCCUCCUUCUCUCAUAGGUACAGUUUCACAUUUCCUGCCAUGAUUAUUUGAUCUGGAUCUGCCUCGCCCACUAGACCCUCAAAGGCAGGAAGGACAUGCCUUUGCUCACAGUGUGCCCUCGGUGUGUGGCACUCAGUAUGUAAAUGAAUAAGAGAGGCUCCCCUCCCACCCUCCGGCCACAGUGAUCUGUGUUCAGCUCUUCACAGAGCUGUUCUGGUCCUCUUUGACUCUGAGGCUCGGCACAUUCUAUUCAUUCUGCUUGGCAUAUCCUUCCCUUCAUUCUCGCUGGCUAAAUUCUCUUCAUCCUUCAGUUUAAGCUUAGAUGCCACCUGUUCCAAACCAUCUUUUCUCACCCCCUGCCUGCCCCGUGCUGGAUCAGAAGCCUCCUCUGAGCUCCCCUGGCAACCUGACCUCUCCCCAUUGCAACACAGGUCACUCUGUGCUACUUCCCCCUGGUGUGAGUAUCUCUGCCAUCAGCCUGUCAGCACCUGUUUACCCACGGCUGAGUCUCCAGUACAUAGUACUGGAGCCUGGCACAUAGUAGGUGCUUAAUAAACGCUUGCUGAACCAGA